rnacentral:lncRNA from 1 species
CGCUUAUAUGGGAAUUAAAAUACUGUCUGAAUGCAACAAUAGCCUAACAGAGUUGAGGAAAGGAAACAUCAUCUAACCAGGGGAUAGAAGCUUCCUUUGCUAGGCAAUAGCUUACUCAGAUCGACUUUGGUAGGGUCAAGAAAACAAGAAGUGAAGUAACAAAAGAUCAGGGAAUCAGGAAUGCUACAAGCAAGAACCCACCACUUUGGCAAGGACUGUGUCACAUAAUCAAUGUAGCAAAAAAAACAUGUGCAGUGCGGUAGUAGCAAGGGCCUAGCCACCGCUGGCCACCCCUAGCUCUGUCAUUGAAGUCGUUUCUUUCCUAAUUAAUUCCAUAUCCAUAACAAUAUAAAAACGAAGAGCAAUAAAUGUUGUAGGAGGUCGUUGUAGUAUCAUUGUUGAAGUUGGUUUGAAUACUUUGUUUCAGAACAACAAACGUGUUUUAGCAUGUAAAACUUGUAUAUAUAUAUAUUUGUAUAUUUUAAAGUGUUG